UACGGAGGGAGCUAGCGUUGUUCGGAUAUACUGGGCGUAAAGCGCACGUAGGCGGCGCCGUAAGUCAGGGGUGAAAUCCCGGAGCUCAACUCCGGAACUGCCCUUGAAACUGCAGUGCUAGAAUUCUGGAGAGGCGAGUGGAAAUUCCGAGUGUAGAGGUGAAAUUCGUAGAUAUUCGGAAAGAACACCAGUGGCGAAGGCGACUCGCUGGACAGACAUUGACGCUGAGGCACGAAGGCCAGGGGAGCAAACGGG
rnacentral:rRNA from 1 species